UACAGAGGGUGCAAGCGUUUAAUCGGAUUUACUGGGCGUAAAGCGCGCGUAGGCGGCUAAUUAAGUCAAAUGUGAAAUCCCCCGAGCUUAAACUUGGGAAUUGCAUUCGAUACUGGUUAGCUAGAGUGUGGGGAGAGGAUGGUAGAAUUCCAGGUGUAGCGGUGAAAUGCGUAGAGAUCUGGAGGAAUACCGAUGGCGAAGGCAGCCAUCUGGCCUAACACUGACGCUAGGUGCGAAAAGCAUGGGGGAGCAAACAGG
rnacentral:rRNA from 1 species